AGCGGCGGACGGGUGAGUAACGCGUGGGUAACCUGCCUCAUACAGGGGGAUAACAGUUAGAAAUGACUGCUAAUACCGCAUAAGCGCACAGUACCACAUGGUACGGUGUGAAAAACUCCGGUGGUAUGAGAUGGACCCGCGUCUGAUUAGGUAGUUGGUGGGGUAACGGCCUACCAAGCCGACGAUCAGUAGCCGACCUGAGAGGGUGACCGGCCACAUUGGGACUGAGACACGGCCCAA
rnacentral:rRNA from 1 species